rnacentral:rRNA from 1 species
AACGAACGCUGGCGGCAUGCCUAGCACAUGCAAGUCGAACGAGACCUUCGGGUCUAGUGGCGCACGGGUGCGUAACGCGUGGGAACCUGCCCUUAGGUUCGGAAUAACUCCCCGAAAGGGGUGCUAAUACCGGAUAAUGUCUUCGGACCAAAGAUUUAUCGCCUUAGGAUGGGCCCGCGUUGGAUUAGCUAGUUGGUAGGGUAAAAGCCUACCAAGGCGACGAUCCAUAGCUGGUCUGAGAGGAUGAUCAGCCACACUGGGACUGAGACACGGCCCAGACUCCUACGGGAGGCAGCAGUGGGGAAUAUUGGACAAUGGGCGAAAGCCUGAUCCAGCAAUGCCGCGUGAGUGAUGAAGGCCUUAGGGUUGUAAAGCUCUUUUACCCGGGAUGAUAAUGACAGUACCGGGAGAAUAAGCUCCGGCUAACUCCGUG